AGCAGCCGCGGUAAUUCCAGCUCCAAUAGCGUAUAUUAAAGUUGUUGCAGUUAAAAAGCUCGUAGUUGAAUUUCGGGAUCAAGUCGUCGGUCGUGCUCAGGUACGUACUGGCGUCAUUGAUUUCUCCCUUCUGACGAACCAUGAUGUCAUUAAUUUGGUGUUAUGGGAAAUCAGGACUGUUACUUUGAAAAAAUUAGAGUGUUUAAAGCAGGCUCACGCUUGAAUACAUUAGCAUGGAAUAAUGAAAUAGGACGUUCGAUCCUAUUUUGUUGGUUUUAGGAUCAACGUAAUGAUUAAUAGGGAUAGUUGGGGGCAUUAGUAUUCAAUUGUCAGAGGUGAAAUUCUUGGAUUUAUUGAAGACUAACUACUGCGAAAGCAUUUGCCAAGGAUGUUUUCAUUAAUCAAGAACGAAAGUUAGGGGAUCGAAGACGAUCAGAUACCGUCGUAGUC
rnacentral:rRNA from 1 species